UUUGCAUUUGUAAUGCUUGGUUCAGUCAUUUUAAGACACUAAGAUUUUAAUAUUUUUUUCUGAAUUUCCCUAAGUCCUAGAAAUUACUCCUCAAAAUGUAAUAGCACAAAAAAUCCUUUAAAGAUAAUUAUAGCAAUAGUUAGAUUUUAUACACUUCUCACUCCCAUAAGAAACAUGUAAAGACCCUGAACUGGGUAGGCUGGAGUAGGUGGGACAGAUUAGCUGAUGCCCUUUUCAUGUGCCCAUGCUGUGUACCCUAAGGGCUUCUCUGUAGCAUUUCACCUGUUACCAUACAUCUGCACCUCACCCCUUGUACAAGUAUAUGACUUGCAGAGAACAAUUCAUCAGUUGUAUACCCCUGAGCAAAUCAUCCUCUCUUAAAACCACAAGAGUGGCCAGGAUAUGGAGUUGUACCUUUGCUAAGGGACCAAGCUUUAGGGACUUUGGUCAAAAGUAGACUCAGGAGGAAAGACAUUUGAAGAUGCUUUUACAUUUCUGGUAAAUCUUAGGAUCCGUUUUCAGCACCAGUGAAGACGUGAACUUUUACACAGGAGCAAAGAACAUGACAAUCCGAAGAGUCUUACCUCUCGGGUACCUUGCCUGUGCUUCAGGUGAUAAUUGACCCUUGAGAGGCUCCUGAGAGCCUGAAUUGUCUUCGCUGCUUACAUCUACUGUCAGGAUCCCAACCAACCACAGAGGCAGGAUUCAGAGCGAGGCCCCAUGUUCAGCGAACGAAGUGGAAGCCAGGAAACAUCUACACAGAUUUUAAUUGAAG
ensembl:lncRNA